UGGGGAAUUUUGCGCAAUGGGCGAAAGCCUGACGCAGCGACGCCGCGUGUGCGAUGAAGGCCUUUGGGUCGUAAAGCACUGUCAGUGGGGACGAAACGUUGCCGGUUAACACCCGGUGAAAUUGACGGUACCCGCAAAGGAAGCACCGGCUAACUCUGUGCCAGCAGCCGCGGUAAUACAGAGGGUGCGAACGUUGCUCGGAAUUACUGGGCGUAAAGCGCGUGUAGGCGGCCUGUUAAGUCGACUGUGAAAGCCCAUGGCUCAACCAUGGAAGUGCGGUCGAUACUGGCAGGCUCGAAUCCCGGAGAGGGUGGCGGAAUUCUCAGUGUAGAGGUGAAAUUCGUAGAUAUUGGGAGGAACACCGGUGGCGAAGGCGGCCACCUGGACGGGUAUUGACGCUGAGACGCGAAAGCGUGGGGAGCAAACAGGAUUAGAUACCCCCGUAGUCC
rnacentral:rRNA from 1 species